rnacentral:miRNA from 1 species
UCAGGGUUUGGGAUUCAGGUGC